UAUCCGCUGCGGGAAAUCGCUAAUUUGUAUUUAGCUAUUUACCUGCAACAGACAUACAUUCAACUCGCGUGAUGGCUGCGCCAAGAUAUGUCACGUCUCCACCGUGUGGUUCCGCCAAUUUGCCGCACACACCGGACGACUCAACUCCGAAAAUUAUGAUUGUUUCGCGCAGCGUUAACAUAAUACGUCCGUCUGCACGGCGAUGUAGACUUCGUCUCCCCAAAAAGUUCCUUGGGAACAGGCGAAGCGGCAAAAAGGACCAACAAAGCCCCUGGUAUUAAUGGCAUCUGAGGCUGCUGCGAACGCUAAACCGGAAGUCAUUGUGUUUUUGUGAAUUUUGUGACAGUCUUUUUAAAGACUUGCGAAAUUUCCAAGCCGGUUUUUGCAUUUAUUAGAAUUAACCAGAUACUGGAAUUUCGUGCAGUGUCAUUUGUGCUGUCUCAAGGAAUUUGAAGUGAUAAACAAGCAAGGAAUAUGAACACAAGGAUGAGAAAAAUAGCUUGAGCAAGCCCUGCAACAAUUCGCACACAGAUAUUAAACGGCGCAACUUCAUCAAAUGAUAGUUUACCGCCGCAAGAUUGUUCCAAUCAGUCAGAAAACUAAGAAGCAGGCUUCUCAGCCGCCAUCUUAUGUUGAAACACCCUCAUUGUCUUCACUAAUUAAUAACCGAUUUGCAGCCUUGGCUGAAGAAGCAGAUCGAAUCAUGCAAGUAGACCUGCCUGAAAGUAUUUGUGAUGAAGAUGAAGCAACUCCAGCUGCUCCCUACCUUUGUUGCUCAUGGCAACACUGUCAAUUCCAAAAAGGGUGAAAGCCUUACUCAAGGAUUUAUUCCGGCUGAGGCCAUCAGAAGUAAAAUUUCAUACGCCGAUGUUGUACGGCCCAAAGGUCCUCAAUUUUUUCGAUCACUUGCUACUCGCCACCACCACAGUGAAUUAGACUCAUCACAAGACUUAGGCCUUAGAAAAAGUUUCGGGCACUGGAAAGCGCCAUCAGGGAUAUAAGCUCGAGAAUGGAAAAAAUGUUCAAGCUAAUAGAGGAAACGGCGGAAUCUAACAAGAUAGAACUCUGAGAAUCUUCAGCUUUUCCUAAGUAUGCAAAAUAUUGAUGUUAUGCUUGCCACUGAAACACACGUUCGGGAAGGAAAACGCAUCUUCCUACCUGGUUACUCCACCUACCACGCCAUGCACCCCAGUGGAAACAGCAGAGGUGGAGCCACUGUCAUAGUGCGCUCUUCCUUGAAUCUUUGUCCCCAACCUCCAAUCUCAACCAACGACCGGCAGGUAGCGAGUGUGCAGCUGCAGACUUCAGAGGGAACGGUUACUUUGGCAUCGGUGUAUCUCCCACCCAGCGAGUAGUUGAUAAAAGCUUAUAUUGAGUGACAAAUUGGUGACAAAUUUAUAGCAGGUGGAGACUACAAUGCCAAAAAUAAUUGGUCGGGAAACUCAAGAGCCUGCGCUAGAGGCAAACUCAUACAGGAUGUAGUCGCAAACGGCCACUACCAAUUUUUGGCAACUGGAGAGCCAACAUUUUUCUCCUCCAACCCACAGGUAGCUCCAUCUGGAUUCGAUAUUUUUAUAACCAAGGGCUACAUGCCAUGCCACUGAAGAAGUCUCUACGUUCCCGUUUCCCAGCUCCUGGUACUCAUGUCGAGACUUUCAAGGUUCACCUGUCUGAACUAAUCGACUUAAGCAUGGAAAUUCAAGGUAAAGAAGGUAUUGACCACGCCAUAAGCUUAUUAAUGGAAAAACUGAAAGAAGCAGGAGCACAUGCUGCACCGAGUACUCCACGCAAUACGCAAACCUUUGUUUAACCGCUCAUACCUUCGGCAAUAGUUGACCUUCUCCAAUGACCCUAAGCAUAAGGCGCCUAAUGUGCGGAACUGGUUCCUUUACAACUGGUAAAGGACGUGAUCGGUUUGCCGGCUUUAGGGCGUUAGAGGGGCGUGGCAAAAAGUUGUUUGGCAAAUCAAUAGAAAUUUAAGCGACUAAUAAAAUUAUGAAAAAAGUAUGGCGUGCGUUUGUCCCUUACGUUUUAUAACGACGGACAGCCAUUUCUAUUCAAGUUUUCAACACGACUCCCAUUUUUGUAACGUCCUUUACAGGUUGGAUUAGUGCCAUUCUCUGAUCAUAUUUUUUUCGAUAGGAUUUUCUUUCUUUAAAGUGUAUAUUAAAAGUUAUUAUACCCGUUAGUCGUAGACUAAUAGGAUAUACUAAAUUUGUUAAAAAGGAUGGUAGAAGGAUGGGUCGGCCGGAAUCCGAAGGCCAAGAUGGUUUUCUUCCAUUUCUGACGGUUCGACGAAGCAGUGAGACAGAGGAGUUUUUUUUUAUUUUACAGCGAAAAGGGAAUGUUCAACUGGGUCUUGGAAAUGAAUAAACUCGAAGUCGCUUUACUUUAAGAGCCGGUCAAGAGGGAGAAUGUAAUGCAGCCCAAUAUUGAAGGGUUUUUAAGAAAAAAUUGAAUAAUCCAGAAGAGUAAAAUAAAUCAAAAGUGGCGCAGCAGUGUCUACCCAUUAUUUUGUUUUUA